rnacentral:rRNA from 1 species
UACCUGGUUGAUCCUGCCAGUAGUCAUAUGCUUGUCUCAAAGAUUAAGCCAUGCAUGUGCAAGUACACGCCAAAUUAAGGUGAAACCGCGAAUGGCUCAUUAAAUCAGUUGUGGUUCCUUAGAUCGUACCAAACUUUACUUGGAUAACUGUGGUAAUUCUAGAGCUAAUACAUGCCAAUAGUGCCUCAAGCCCGUGAGGGUAAGGGGAGCAUUUAUUAGACCAAAACCAAUGGGGUUUUCCCCUUUUUCUUGGUGACUCUGAAUAACUUUUUGCUGAUCGCACGGCCAUGAGCUGGCGACAUAUCUUUCAAGUGUCUGCCUUAUCAACUUUCGACGGUACGUUAAACGCCUACCGUGGUUAUAACAGGUGACGGGGAAUCAGGGUUCGAUUCCGGAGAGGGAGCCUGAGAGACGGCUGCCACAUCUAAGGAAGGCAGCAGGCGCGCAAAUUACCCACUCCCAGCAUGGGGAGGUAGUGACGAAAAAUAACAAUACGGGACUCGUCCGAGGCCUCGUAAUUGGAAUGAGUACAAUCUAAAUCCCUUAACAAGGAUCUAUUGGAGGGCAAGUCUGGUGCCAGCAGCCGCGGUAAUUCCAGCUCCAAUAGCGUAUAUUAAAGUUGUUGCGGUUAAAAAGCUCGUAGUUGAAUCUCAGUUCUGGGCCAGCACGGGUCCGCCACACACACUGGUGGACUGCUGACUGGCCUGGUGCAAAAUCGCCCGGCUUCUCCCACAAUGCUCUUCACCGAGUGUCGUGGGUGGCCGACACGUUUACUUUGAGAAAACCAGAGUGUUUAAAGCAGGCGCAAAACGCCAGAAUGACUGUGCAUGGAAUAAUGGAAGAGGAUCUCGUUUCUGUCUUUGUUGGUUCUUCGGAAGACGAGAUAAUGAUUAAUAGGAACAGACGGGGGCAUUCGUAUUGCGACGUUAGAGGUGAAAUUCUUGGAUCGUCGCACGACGAACUACUGCGAAAGCAUUUGCCAAGAAUGUUUUCGUUAAUCAAGAACGAAAGUUAGAGGUUCGAAGGCGAUCAGAUACCGCCCUAGUUCUAACCAUAAACGAUGCCGACUGGCGAUCCGCCCCAGUUAAUUAAACGACUGGGCGGGCAGCCUCCGGGAAACCAAAGUCUUUGGGUUCCGGGGGAAGUAUGGUUGCAAAGCUGAAACUUAAAGGAAUUGACGGAAGGGCACCACCAGGAGUGGAGCCUGCGGCUUAAUUUGACUCAACACGGGAAACCUCACCAGGCCCGGACACCAAAAGGAUUGACAGAUUGAGAGCUCUUUCUUGAUUUGGUGGGUGGUGGUGCAUGGCCGUUCUUAGUUGGUGGAGCGAUUUGUCUGGUUAAUUCCGAUAACGAACGAGACUCUAGCCUGUUAACUAGCCAGUGGAUCAAUUAUUUCAAUGCGGCGAAGCUAGGGCGACUCUUUGUGGGUUUGUCUCUGGUGUGUAGUCGCGUCCACUGAGCCUUCUUAAAGGGACAGGCGGCUUUUAGCCGCACGAGACGGAGCAAUAACAGGUCUGUGAUGCCCUUAGAUGUCCUGGGCCGCACGCGCGCUACAUUGAAGGAAUCAGCGUGCACUCCCAGCCCGAGAGGGCCGGGUAACCCGCUGAAAUUCCCUCGUGAUAGGGAUCGGGGAUUGCAACUAUCCCCCGUGAACGAGGAAUUCCCAGUAAGCGCGAGUCAUGAGCUCGCGUUGAUUACGUCCCUGCCCUUUGUACACACCGCCCGUCGCUACUACCGAUUGAAUGAUUUAGUGAGGCCUUUGGACUGGCUCGCUGGUGCGUACCUUUAGGUGUCGCGCUGGUUACUGGGCCGGGAAGCUGGCCAAACUUGACCAUUUAGAGGAAGUAAAAGUCGUAACAAGGUUUCCGUAGGUGAACCUGCGGAAGGAUCA